AAUUUCAUAUCUAAAAUUUGUGCAAAAACAAGAGUCAAAUUAAUUAGUGUUAGCCAACAUUGUUACAGUGCUAAGUUAAGCGAACACAUAUAUGAUGAUAUGUCUUUAAAAGAUAUGUAGACUCGAACCUGUAAGUUAUAGCUUUUAAAUAAGUAUCUAAUACCGAUUUAUCCGACAACCUUCUCCGGGUUAUACACAAUAAAACAAAUUUAUAAAUCUUAAAUAUCUGGUAUCAAUUAUCAGUUCUUAUUUACGGACCAAAUUUCACGCUAAAAUGAAAAUCUACUAUUGAUAAAUUCGUGGAAAAGAUCAAAUCAGAAGUUAAGAACAAUGACAAGACUCAUUUAGAUUCACUGCUUUAUGUAUUUUGUUAGCUAUGUCUUUUGAAAUCGAAAUGGAAGAAGAGUCUAUUGAGAAGAUGUAUCAAAUGAUGGCGGAAAUUUUAAUUGUUGUUGAUCCUACAUCAAAAUCCUAGAAUUUG
rnacentral:sRNA from 1 species